rnacentral:ncRNA from 1 species
CCCGAGGAAUUAAGCACAUUAGCAGAGGUACAGAAAAUAAGGGUUCCCUCAGUACGCGAGUGAACAGGGGAGAGCCCAGCGCCCUGUCCCCACCGCUCGGCUGGGUGCGGGAAAUGGGCAUAUGGAAGACCCACUCUCCGGCGCCGCUUGCUGGGGCCCAAGUCCUUCUGAUGGAGGCCCAGCCCGUGGACGGUGUGAGGCCGGCAGAUGCCCCCGGCGCGCCGGGUCCGGGUCUUCCCGGAGUCUGCUUGCUUGGGAAUGCAGCCCAAAGCGGGUGGUAAUCUCCAUCUAAGGCUAAAUACCGGCACGAGACCCAUAUUCAAUAAAUACCACAAGGGAAAGCUGAAAAGAACUUUGAAGAGAGAGUUCAAGAGGGCGCGAAAACCUUGAGUUAGACAGGUGGGGUGCUCGCAGUGCGCCCGGAAGAUCUAACCUGGCAGCAUUA